AUUUCAGCAGGCGGACUCCAUGGCAGGCCUGCAGAGCUUUCCCCCGUUUUAAUGCUGCACUGAGCAAGGCAGUCUCUCCUGAAACUGUGACUUUUAAAUGCUGUUGUGUUGAUGUCCCACUCCAGAAAGCAAAGAUGGGGGAAGAACUUCACACAGAGAGCCCAACACAAGUGAAAUGUAUCAAGAGUUUAUUGUGCUGCUAGGAAUGCUCUCCAAAAAUAUGUGAUUCCUCUGCUCAAAUAAAGGUGAUAAAUGGGUUUCCCAUUUCUUGGGAAACCCUGUCUGGAAGAACAAGAGAACAGUGAGACUUUUGUGCCAUUUUCUUCCAGUUUUCAAAUGUCUGGAAGUUUUCUGGAGUAUUUUUGCACUCAUAGAAAUACGUAUAUGUGUGCAUGUCUAUUUACAAAACCACAUUUUUAUGCAGGAAACGUGCUUCUGUGCAGAAAACAUGUUUUUUCCAAUAUGUAAUGUGUGUGUAUGUGUGGUGUGUGUGUGUGUAUUGCACAAAAACAUGGUGUUUUUUUGCACGGAAAAAUCUUGCAGAACACCUCAGGAUGCUCAAAUACAGAAACUUCAAAGCAAGUUGCAGAAAAACUGUAUGUGAUGGAGCAAAUCUGAAGAUUUAGAUUGCCAAAUUCCUGCAAAUGAGCAUAUAUAUUUUUUAAGAUGCUUUUAUGACCCUCAAUGUUGCAAGGCUGUGUAAAUUAACUGGUCUAUCCAUCUGUCUAAAUGGUGUGAGUUGUGUAAGACAGAUCUAUAACGAAAAUUAAAGAGUCCAUCUCUUACACUGAAUAACUGAUACUAUAACUUUGCACUUUGUUUUAUUCUUAUAUUAAUAAUGUCUCUAUAUAUUUAUAUAUAUUAAAAAUAAGGCACAUAAAUAAGGUACAUAAAGGGAAGUAGAAAUCAGGAAGAAUGGCCCAGCCCAGUGAAAAAUGAUCAGCUAUUGCACCCGGUUCCACAGACAGGAGCUGAAAGAGGAAAGAAAAGCGGUAACUUGGCAGACUUUUCACGUUCCCCAGCAAAACAACUAAGCUUUACGAAUCAAGCAACAAACAGAGGGGCUUUUUGGUGAUAUUUACAAGGGGGAAAAAGGAUAUGGAAGUCAUCCAUUCUACCAAGAAACAAGAACAGGAAAUGCACCAAGCUGUCCCCUGGGUAUUCACCAUUUCCCUGCAAGUUUCAACCUCAAAUGCAAACGUCCUAACUUGUACCCCCCUCUUUCCCCCAGAAAAUAACCUCAGGACGGGGAACCGGCUCCAGCCACAAACCAACGUUGGCCAAUAUUUGCCUAAGAGUUAUGAGAAGUUCAGUUCACGGAAUGUUCCACAUUAAAGCAUUUUUCUCAUGCCGGAAUUUUAUGAGAAGAUGCCAGAGAUUAGAAGAGGAGGAGGAGGAAGGAGGAGGAAGAGAAGGUGUGAAAGAAAAAGAGGUGUACAGAGAGCUUCAGGGGGCCAGGCAGGGGUGUGCAAACUGUGGCCCAUUGGUCACAUGUGGCUCCAGAAGCUGCUUGUGGCCUUGAGUGUGGAAACAGUGGCCCGUUUUAGUUGUUAUUCUUUUUAGUUUUGAGGAGGGGGCCACAAGUAUAGAAACUGGCCCAUUGGCCACAUGUUACUGCAGAAGCUCUUUAUGACCACAGGUGUGGAAACUGUAGACCACUGGCCACAUAUGGACACAGAAAUGCCUAGUGGCCUCAGGUGUGGAAACUGUGGCCUAUUGGCCAGAUGUGCUUACUGAAGUUCCUUGUGGCCUCAGAUGCCAUUGGCCACAUGUGACUGCAGAAGCUCCUUAUGGUCUCAGAUGUGGAAACUAUGGCCCAUUAGCCACUUCUGGUGACAGAAGAUCCUAGUGGCCAAUUGGCCACAUGUACACACUGAAGUUCCUUGUGGCUUUGGAAGUCAUUGGCCACAUGUGGCCACAGAAGCCAUGAGCAACUUCUGUGACCACAAGUAGCCAAUGGGUCGGUUUCCAUGUCUCUGCCCUUGUUCCUCAUUACUCAGGGGAACCAAUCUCCUGCACAACAGAUGGGUCACAAAGCCAGUAUGUGGCUGGUGGAAUCCCACUUCGGACUUGGUAAAGUCUUCUGCUGUCAUUAACUGCCUAACUUAUGGCAUCCCUGGAAUGCUGUAAAAACCAACACCCCACUAUUAAUUCCUUUCUUCUGAUCGGUUUUCCUCCCUCCCCAUCCUGCAGAAGAAAGAGAAAGAGAAGGGCCUUUUCCAUUGUGUCCCCCUGCAGUGCCAGCCAACAGUUCCCCUUUCAAGGGGACAGUGAAUCUACUCUGGGUUCUAGCCUGCACUUUUAAAGAGCUACCCAACAUGCCAAACAUAUUUACAGGAUCAGGUGCAGCAUAUUCAGACUAAAACCCAGCACAACUUCAUCUCCACAUUUACAGGGUGGGUGCAGAACACUGUCUCUAGGGAGUCCAUCCAGGCCAGAGCCUUCACUGUUUUUGCUGCCACCAAAGCUGGUGCCCUCCAAAUGUACUGGAUGAUGUCCCAUCAUCCCUAGUGCAGCUGUUAAUCUGUUCUGCUGGUUUUUGAAAUAUUCUGUCACUGUGCUAGUUCUAAGAGAUUUCACUUUUUCAUAUAUUUGUGGGGCUUUGGUCUAUUUUAUUUUGGCUUUUGAUUAGCUGUUUUUGGGGAUGGGGAGGCUGCUGGGAUGGGAGGUGAUGACGACAAAUCUUUGUUGUUACCCUUGCAAAAGAAAAUGCUGAAAUGUAAGAGGGAAGAAUCAUAUCUUCUCUCUCUCUCUCUCUCUCUCUCUCUCUCUCUCUCUCACACACACACACACCGUUCCUCAACAGCUCUGGCAUGCAUUAAGAGUAAAACCGCUUUCCAUUAAAUCGAGAUACUUUCCUCUUUUCUAGCUAAACCUGCUGCUGAAUCUGGGUCAGGUGGAGAAAUUAUUAAUUGCCAAGUUUCUAAAGCGUAGCUCAGGAAAAAGCUGAUCUUCUUCCCCUGCCACUGCUUUUUAAAUCUCUAGGAGCAACAGAUAUCUAAGAAAUUGAAUAAUACAAAGGAAAAUUCUGUUUAGGAUUAAAAAUUGCACACUGAAGGAAAAGAGUAGAGAAUUUUAAAUAAAUUUCUGUUCCACACACACACAGAAAUUUCAUCAGAAGAAGCAACUCUGUUGGAAUAGAGAACUAGGCUACACCUACAGUGUAAAAAUAAUGCAGUUUGAUACCACUUUAAAUACUGUAGCGCCAUCCUAUGAAGUCCUGGGAUUUAUUGUUUUGAGCUUUCUCUGCCCACAAGUGCUUCUGCCUCACGAGAGUGCAAUUCCCAGGAUUCCAUAGGAUGGAGCCAUGGCAGUUAAAGUGGUGUCAAACUGCAUUAUUUUUACAGUGCAGACACGCCCCUAGAGUCUUUCCCACUCAGUACAAUUACAGAAUAUCAAUCCCACUUUAACUGUCAAGUUUAAUUCACUUCCAUCAUAAGUGUAUAUAUGGUGUCUGUGUGUGCUCACAUGUGUGCACAUGUGUGUGUACAGCAUGAAUAUAUUUAUAUCUAGGUUUAGAGAUUCUAUAUAUUUGAGGAAAUGCAUAGGAGAAAUUUUUAGUUUAGAAACUUUUCAGGAAUAAAAAAUAAUAAUCCAUACUCUUUGUCAAGCCAGGGUUCCAAUCCACCAAUAAUAUCUCCUGAAUUGUAAAGUGCACUGGGACUCUCAUUAACAGUGUGAUGGCUCAUGCAAAGAGCAAACCUUAGUGAUCAUACCUAAGGUUUGUUUUGGAUAAAAAGGAAUUUUCUUUACAUUGGGUUAAAUGCAGUUGCGUAAGAAAUACACUUUCUGACUCUGACUACACCUAAAGGGGGUAUUUAUUUAUUAUAUUUAUUUGUAUCUUGCUCUUUCCCCAGGACUAGGAGCGGCUUAA